rnacentral:rRNA from 1 species
UACGUAGGGUGCGAGCGUUGUCCGGAAUUAUUGGGCGUAAAGAGCUCGUAGGCGGUUUGUCGCGUCGACUGUGAAAACCUACAGCUUAACUGUGGGCUUGCAGUCGAUACGGGCAGACUUGAGUUCGGUAGGGGAGACUGGAAUUCCUGGUGUAGCGGUGAAAUGCGCAGAUAUCAAGAGGAACACCAGUGGCGAAGGCGAGUCCCUGGACGAUACCUGACACUGAGGCACGAAAGCCAAGGGAGCAAACAGG